rnacentral:rRNA from 1 species
GGGUGAGUAACGCGUGGGUAACCUGCCCUAUACUGGGGGAUAGCAGUUGGAAACGACUGAUAAUACCGCAUAAGCGCACAGUAUCGCAUGGUACAGUGUGAAAAACUCCGGUGGUAUAGGAUGGACCCGCGUCUGAUUAGCUAGUUGGUGAGGUAACGGCCCACCAAGGCGACGAUCAGUAGCCGGCCUGAGAGGGUGUACGGCCACAUUGGGACUGAGACACGGCCCAAACUCCUACGGGAGGCAGCAGUGGGGAAUAUUGGACAAUGGGGGCAACCCUGAUCCAGCGACGCCGCGUGAGUGAUGAAGUAUCUCGGUAUGUAAAGCUCUAUCAGCAGGGAAGAUAAUGACGGUACCUGACUAAGAAGCACCGGCUAAAUACGUGCCAGCAGCCGCGGUAAUACGUAUGGUGCAAGCGUUAUCCGGAUUUACUGGGUGUAAAGGGUGCGUAGGUGGCAAGGUAAGUCAGAUGUGAAAACUAUGGGCUCAACCCAUAGACUGCAUUUGAAACUGCCAGGCUAGAGUGCAGGAGAGGAAAGUGGAAUUCCUAGUGUAGCGGUGAAAUGCGUAGAUAUUAGGAGGAACACCAGUGGCGAAGGCGGCUUUCUGGACUGUAACUG